rnacentral:rRNA from 1 species
AUACGUAGGUGGCAAGCGUUGUCCGGAUUUACUGGGCGUAAAGGAUGCGUAGGCGGAUGUUUAAGUGGGAUGUGAAAUCCCCGGGCUCAACCCGGGAACUGCAUUCCAUACUGGAUAUCUAGAGUGCAGGAGAGGAAAGCGGAAUUCCUAGUGUAGCGGUGAAAUGCGUAGAUAUUAGGAGGAACACCAGUGGCGAAGGCGGCUUUCUGGACUGUAACUGACACUGAGGCAUGAAAGCGUGGGUAGC